rnacentral:rRNA from 1 species
UACGUAGGGUGCAAGCGUUGUCCGGAAUUAUUGGGCGUAAAGAGCUCGUAGGCGGUCUGUCGCGUCGAAUGUGAAACCCCGAGGCUCAACCUCGGGUCUGCAUUCGAUACGGGCAGACUAGAGUUCGGUAGGGGAGUCUGGAAUUCCUGGUGUAGCGGUGAAAUGCGCAGAUAUCAGGAGGAACACCGGUGGCGAAGGCGGGUCUCUGGGCCGAUACUGACGCUGAGGAGCGAAAGCGUGGGGAGCGAACAGG